rnacentral:rRNA from 1 species
UUCCAGUCCAAUAGCGUAUAUUAAAGUUGUUGCAGUUAAAAAGCUCGUAGUUGAAUUUCGGGGUUAGUAGGUUGGUCAUGCCUCUGGUAUGUACUGAUCUCACUGAUUCCUCCUUCCUUAUGAACCGUAAUGCCAUUAAUUUGGUGUUGCGGGGGAUUUGGACUGUUACUUUGAAAAAAUUAGAGUGUUUAAAGCAGGCUAACGCUUGAAUACAUUAGCAUGGAAUAAUGAAAUAGGACGUUCGAUCUUAUUUUGUUGGUUUCUAGGAUUGACGUAAUGAUUAAUAGGGAUAGUUGGGGGCAUUAGUAUUCAAUUGUCAGAGGUGAAAUUCUUGGAUUUAUUGAAGACUAACUACUGCGAAAGCAUUUGCCAAGGAUGUUUUCAUUAAUCAAGAACGAAAGUUAGGGGAUCGAAGACGAUCAGAUACCGUCGUAGUCUUAACCAUAAACUAUGCCGACUAGGGAUCGG